AACGAACGCUGGCGGCAUGCCUAACACAUGCAAGUCGAACGAGACCUUCGGGCCUAGUGGCGCACGGGUGCGUAACGCGGGGGAACCUGCCCUUAGGUUCGGAAUAACUCCCCGAAAGGGGUGCUAAUACCGGUUAAUGUCAUCGGACCAAAGAUUUAGCGCCGUUGGAUGGGGCCGCGUUGGAUUAGCUAGUUGGUAGGGUAAAAGCCUACCAAGGCGACGAUCCAUAGCUGGUCUGAGAGGAUGAUCCGCCACACUGGGACUGAGACACGGCCCAGACUCCUACGGGAGGCAGCAGUGGGGAAUAUUGGACAAUGGGCGAAAGCCUGAUCCAGCAAUGCCGCGUGAGUGAUGAAGGCCUUAGGGUUGUAAAGCUCUUUUACCCGGGAUGAUAAUGACAGUACCGGGAGAAUAAGCUCCGGCUAACUCCGUG
rnacentral:rRNA from 1 species